GGAGAGUAUAGCUCAGUGGAAGAGUGCAUGCUUAGGACCUAUGAGGUCCUGGGUUCAAUCCCCAGUACCUCCA